UAACCCUGUAAGAGACCAAGAGAGAAGGUACAACCAUGUUUUCCGCAGAUCAAAGUUACUACACCGUCUUCCUCUUACAUCAACCGAGACACAUCCAAACAAACAUGGCAAAGGUUGGCUGUGGACAUUCAUAGAUCUCAAUGUGGCAUCUAAGUUAGACAGGACACAAGAGAUUUAUCCGCACUGUCCAGCAAAUCUGUCACAGUGGCCACCAGGAGUGAGCUUCUAUCAGAAUUGAGGCCAGGUCAGAAAAGUCUUGCUGGAUGCAAUUAUGAGGUCUCUCCAAAUCUUUAAUGGGUCUGAACUCUACAGCUGCUGCCGCUCAACUCCCUGGAAAACCAGGAACGAAUGUGGAUCCUAGACUAAGACUUUGGCAGGAUAUUCAAAAGGACAAAUAGCAACUGCCCCAGUAGAAGGCAGCGGAUGGCACAAGUGUGAGUGGAGCUCAUUCCAGAUGGUCUUGGGGUGGCAACAGAGAAGGCCCGUCCCUGGGUAGCCACCACCAGAUGAGCUGAUGGAAACUGAAGAUUAACCUCGACUCCGGAUGACCUCAAUGAGCGAUGGGGCUCAUAGUGAAGAAGACGUUCUCUUAAAUACCCAGUGCCUAAGCUGGUUUGGGGCUUUAUAGGUUAUAAACAGCACCUUGUAUUUUGCC